UAACAGGGCCAUCUCAUCUCUGGGAAACUGUUGAAUCUGGUCUUGGGCCAUAAUUCAUUCUUAUUAGAGCCAAUAAUUUCCAUCAUUAAUACAGUGGCUUCUUCUGGCCUACAGUUGGAAGAUAGGUUCUGAAGAAACUUAAACUUGUAAAAAUCCCUGGCAGAUAUUGCCCUGGUCAUAGGUGGCUCAACAUGCCUCAACAAAAAGGGUGAAAGAGAGCAAAGUAUCAUUUUAUUGGCAUAGUGAUGCAAGUGGUCCAGUUUUCUUAAAUUUUUCCUUAAGUUCAGAGAUGGCAUCCUCAAGGCUAAUUUUAGCUGAUGUCAACUUAUUUUCUCUUGGUCGGAUGAAAGUUCUGUGAAGUUCAGGGCAGUAACUGCACCUUAAAAGGGCACCUCUUCUCCUACUUUCUCUAGGCAAGGAUUGAAGAGACCAGCCUUUGGUAAGCCCAUAUGCUGUCACUCUACCUCCACAGAAGAUUUCUCAGUCCAAGUGAGAAGCUCAUGGUAUCACCGUGUUCCUCUCUCCUAUUCACACUGGGCAGCUAGGCAGAAGGUGAAGACUUCUGGCUGAGUACACGUGGGAACCUGACUCUGCCCUAGCAGGUAGUAGAGCACAAACUGGGAUGGGUAAUUCUGGUCCUUUCCUACUUUAAACAGUGAUGAGCUAAUGUAGCCUAACUAGGUAAUGCAAUGAGGCUGUGGGAAACAUGGCCAGAGAGGAUCUCCAUUCCUUGACGGACAUUCUCCAGGAAACUGCUGUUACUGCUCAGCACAAAGAGCAGAAGUUCUAAUGCCUUUCUCCAGAAGACUCAGUUUGGAUGUCAAGAGAAAGCAGAUUUUCAGGCACAGAUCCUCACUUCUUGAGCCAUCAGGAUUGAAAAACAAGUCACUGGGGCCCUGGAAAGCACAAUUUUUCCUUUCCCACACAUGAGCUGCUUCGUCUAGUGGUUGGAGGGAAGCAGCACCUGUGCUUCCAUGCUCUCCAGGAAGGAUGACCUGGCUGUGCUGUCAGACUUGGACCAAGCUCCAGAGAUCUUGCUUGGACUGAAGGGUUUGGUACUCCAGCCAUGUGAGCGCCAUCAAAUAAGCAGGUAGGGAACAGGUAAGACUGGUGCAGAAGGCUCCC
rnacentral:lncRNA from 1 species